UACGAAGGGGGCUAGCGUUGCUCGGAAUUACUGGGCGUAAAGGGAGCGUAGGCGGACAUUUAAGUCAGGGGUGAAAUCCCAGGGCUCAACCCUGGAACUGCCUUUGAUACUGGGUAUCUGGAGUUCGGGAGAGGUGAGUGGAAUUCCGAGUGUAGAGGUGAAAUUCGUAGAUAUUCGGAGGAACACCAGAAGCGAAGGCGGCUCACUGGCCCGAUACUGACGCUGAGGCGCGAAAGCGUGGGGAGCAAACAGG
rnacentral:rRNA from 1 species